CAUGUUGGCCAGGAUGGUCUUGAUUUCUUGACCUUGUGAUCCACCUGCCUCAGCCUCCCAAAGUGCUGGGAUUAUAGGCGUGAGCCACCACGCCCGGCCAAAAGAAAGCUUUAUGUGUCCAUUGUGUCACAGAGAGGGCAUCCUUCGGGAAGCAGGGGAACUAGCCCCAGAUGCAAGAGCUGGGACCAGGCCCUGGGCCCCCCACCGCACCUAUUCAAUCAUCCAUGUCCUCCUCUCCCCACCCCUGUUCCUCUGAAACUCCCAGCAGGAUCUCCUUCCUAAAUACCUCCUGUCUUGACUGUUCCCUAGUGAACCGGCUUAUGUGUCUGAAACUCGUCUUCACAGCCAGAUGGUGGCUGGGUGCUCUCCCUCUGCCCCUCACUUUCACAGAGCUUGGAUCCCGGAGAGCACCCUCUCUCAGGACCGCUGGGUGGAGAUCCUUCCUGUUCUCACCUGGCUGGUCUUGGGUGGAGCCAGGCUCUGAACCAGUUGAGGACAGGACCUCAGCUGGUGUGCUCCAUACGCAAAACUGUCUUGAAUCUGCUUCCUGGGACUUGGACUUCGGCGUUCUGGACAUCUGGACCUCCCACAGCCAAGCAGUGGGCACAAGCCCUUAAGAGCCAGUCCUGAGGAUUUGUCCUACCCCCAUAGAGGGUCCUGGCCAGGUGUGUUCGCUCCAGGAGCAGCGCAGGGGGCCAUGGUGGCACCAGAGCCCCAUCACAGGCUGGAGUGCAGUGGCUCAACCAUGGUUUACUGUGGCCUCGUGAACCUGGGCUUAGGUGAUCCUCCCACCUCAACCUCCCAGACAAAGUCUUGCUCUUUUCCCCCGGGCUGGAG